GAUGAACGCUAGCGACAGGCCUAACACAUGCAAGUCGAGGGCAGCACGAAGUAAGCUUGCUUACUUUGGUGGCGACCGGCGCACGGGUGCGUAACAGGUGUGCAAUCUGUCCAUAAUCGGGGAAUAGCCCAGCGAAAGUUGGAUUAAUGCUCCAUGUGAGUUUUAGAGGCAUCUCUUUAAUUUGAAACGUAAGGAUUAUGGGUGAGCACGCUUCUGAUUAGGUAGUUGGUGAGGUAACGGCUCACCAAGCCGACGAUUAGUAGGGGUUCUGGAGAGGAAGGUCCCCCCACAUUGGAACUGAGACACGGUCCAAACUCCUACGGGAGGCAGCAGUGAGGAAUAUUGGUCAAUGGGCGAAAGCCUGAACCAGCCAAGUCGC
rnacentral:rRNA from 1 species